GACGGGGCCCGCACAAGCGUGGAGUAUGUGGUUUAAUUCGAUGCAACGCGAAGAACCUUACCUGGUCUUGACAUCCCGGAGACCCUUAGGAAACUAGGGGGUGCUUCCAUCUGGAAGAAUCUGGAGACAGGUGCUGCAUGGCUGUCGUCAGCUCGUGUCGUGAGAUGUUGGGUUAAGUCCCGCAACGAGCGCAACCCUUGCCUUUAGUUGCCAGCAGUUCGGCUGGGCACUCUAAAGGGACUGCCGGUGUUAAACCGGAGGAAGGUGGGGAUGACGUCAAGUCCUCAUGGCCUUUAUGACCAGGGCUACACACGUACUACAAUGGCCGAUACAAAGGGCAGCGACACUGCGAGGUGAAGCCAAUCCCGUAAAAUCGGUCUCAGUCCGGAUUGGAGUCUGCAACUCGACUCCAUGAAGUUGGAAUCGCUAGUAAUCGUGGAUCAGCAUGCCACGGUGAAUACGUUCCCGGGCCUU
rnacentral:rRNA from 1 species